CUCACUCAAUAUGGUUUGGAGGCUGCAGAGCUGCAUAGCAUCAUCUAUCACAGAAUGCUCACGAGAACUGCUGAUGUACCAAGAAUCUCAAGAGGCCAUAAAUCACCCUAAAUAGCCCAAGCCUGUGGGAGCCCCAUUUCUUUGCUCUGGAAUCUGCCAAGGCAGCUCAUGAAAUCAGAUGAGCUUCCUGGAGAUCUGGAGGCAGGGAAUGAAACCACUUCUCCACCCUCCAGCUCAGGAGUCUGGGAGCAUGUCCUGCUAACCAGGAACAGUCCUGAAGACCUGAAUACCAAACUGCUCCUUUGCAAUGACCACUCUUUCCCAGAUCACCUGGUGUUUGCUGAUUCACACCUGCCCUACUACAGAACAUCUCACCUCUUAACCAGCCCAUCUUUCC